rnacentral:rRNA from 1 species
UAACACGUGGAUAACCUACCCUUGGGACUGGAAUAACCCCGGGUAAACUGGGGAUAAUACCGGAUAGAUCAGGGAUUCUGGAAUGCACCUUGAUCCAAAGCUCCCGCCCCCAAGGAUGGGUCUGCGGCCUAUCAGGUAGUAGUGGGUGUAACGUGCCUACUAGCCAACGACGGGUACGGGUUGUGAGAGCAAGAGCCCGGAGAUGGAUUCUGAGACACGAAUCCAGGCCCUACGGGGUGCAGCAGGCGCGAAACCUUUACAAUGUGCGAAAGCAUGAUAAGGGAACUCCGAGUGCCAGUAUCUAAUACUGGCUGUCCUUGUGCCUAAAACGCACAAGAUAGCAAGGGCCGGGUAAGACCGGUGCCAGCCGCCGCGGUAGCACCGGCGGCCCGAGUGGUAGCCGCUAUUAUUGGGUCUAAAGGGUCCGUAGCCGGUUCGAUAAGUCCUCUGGGAAAUCUGGUUGCUUAACAAUCAGACUGCCAAGGGAUACUGUCGAACUUGAGACCGGGAGAGGUAAGAGGUACUUCAGGGGUAGGAGUGAAAUCUUGUAAUCCCUGGGGGACCAUCUGUGGCGAAGGCGUCUUACCAAAACGGGUCUGACGGUGAGGGACGAAAGCUGGGGGCGCAAACCGGAUUAGAUACCCGGGUAGUCCCAGCCGUAAACGAUGCUCGCUAUGUGUCAGGUACGGUGUGACCGUAUCUGGUGCCGUAGGGAAGCCGUGAAGCGAGCCACCUGGGAAGUACGGCCGCAAGGCUGAAACUUAAAGGAAUUGCCGGGGGAGCACUACAACGGGUGGAGCCUGCGGUUUAAUUGGAUUCAACGCCGGAAAUCUUACCGGGGGAGACAGCAGCAUGAAGGUCAGGCUGAAGACCUUACCAGAUCCGCUGAGAGGAAGUGCAUGGCCGUCGUCAGUUCGUACUGUGAAGCACCCUGUUAAGUCAGGCAACGAGCGAGACCCGUGCCCACAGUUGCCAGCAUACCCUUCGGGGUGAUGGGUACUUUGUGGGGACCGCCGCUGCUAAUGCGGAGGAAGGAGCGGGUUACGGUAGGUCAGUAUGCUCCGAAACUCCCGGGCUACACGCGGGCUACAAUGGUUGGGACAAUGGGAAUCA